rnacentral:rRNA from 1 species
AUUGAACGCUGGCGGAAUGCUUUACACAUGCAAGUCGAACGGUAGAGGGGGCAACCCCUCGAGAGUGGCGAACGGGUGAGUAAUAUAUCGGAACGUGCCCAGUCGUGGGGGAUAACGUAGCGAAAGUUACGCUAAUACCGCCUACGAUCUACGGACGAAAGCGGGGGAUCGCAAGACCUCGCGCGAUUGGAGCGGCGGAUAUCAGAUUAGGUAGUUGGUGGGGUAAAGGCUCACCAAGCCAACGAUCUGUAGAUGGUCUGAGAGGACGACCAGCCACACUGGAACUGAGACACGGUCCAGACUCCUACGGGGGGCAGCAGUGGGGAAUUUUGGACAAUGGACGCAAGUCUGAUCCAGCCAUUCCGCGUGCAGGAUGAAGGCCCUCGGGUUGUAAACUGCUUUUGUACGGAACGAAAAGGUUUCCAUUAAUACUGGGAGCUCAUGACGGUACCGUAAGAAUAAGCACCGGCUAACUACGUGCCAGCCGCCGCGGUAA